CCGUGAGCUGUUCGCAAUCGAGCAAAAAACAGGAGCCGAGCCCCACCUGCCUCCCUUCCCCCUGCUCUCUUUCUCAAUCUCCACCCACAGAACGAGAGAGAGGGGGGGAAGAUAUCACCUUUGGCUUCCAUGGAGGAAUUCAGAUCGAGGUCGUGCGGGGACGGGAGGAUGGAGCUGGAGGUCUACGGGAGCCGGGCGGUCCCUCCGGCCUCGGGCCUCCACGAGCUGCGGUGCUACAGCGCCUCUUAUGCGUCGUCGCAGCAGAACAGCUACGAGGUCCCCAAGGAGAUCAAGUUCAAGAAGGGGAAGAGCACCGUGGGUUCGUCUUCCUCCAAGAGUGGGUGGAGCCUCAGUGACCCGGAACUGCAGAGAAAGAAGAGGGUGGUAGGCUACAAGGCCUACGCUGUGGAGGGGAAGAUGAAGGGGUCUCUGAGGAAGAGCUUCAGGUGGCUCAAGGAGAGAUACACCCAGGCGGUCUACGGCUGGUCGUGAUUCCUCUUCUCUCGUUCAUUACUUGUGGGCCUGAUUUGAAGCCCCAGAUUCGACUGGAAAUUUGGAAAAAGAAUUGGUGAUGAGUUUGGAUCACCUGGCUGCGGGUCAAGUCUUCUUGUCAGGGAGUCGAGGAGAUUUUGCAUCACAUUUCCAGCUCAUUACUUGCGACAGCGGGAAAGGAUGUAAAAAAUCCCUUCCCAGCCCUAUAUUAUGCGUUUUUCUUUUAUUUAAUUAAAAUUGGAGCUUUUAUUACGAGAUUUAUCUGCCAGAUAUAUCAGUGUAUCCGCCAAUUUGAACAUUGCGUUCAACACCGAGUUUAGCAGGCUAAUGAACUAUAUAACUAUGUUCUUUGUUUGUCAAUAUCUUCCAGGAAUAUGAUGUGGUAUCCAUGACUUUAA